CCUCGGGCAUAGAUGAAGAGCACAGAAAAAUGAGAUAAGUAGUGUGAAUUGCAGAACUCAGAAUCUCAUAGAAUUUUUGAACGCACAUUGCCCCCUGGGGUAUUGAGGGGGACAUGUUUGUGAGAGUCUCAUUUGCACCCACAAUAUAUUUGGGGUGGGGGGUGGUCGUCCUUUGGUUAGCAGAUGAACUCGUCGUAAAUUCAUUGGCAGCUACAGUAGUAGGGAAAGCGCAGAACAAUUUGUGUCUUUGGAGAGUAUUUCACGCAUCCAGUACGCAUAAAUAACCAGGUGACCUCGAUCAGUAGGAGCCCG
rnacentral:rRNA from 1 species